rnacentral:rRNA from 1 species
UGGGGAAUAUUGCACAAUGGGCGCAAGCCUGAUGCAGCCAUGCCGCGUGUGUGAAGAAGGCCUUCGGGUUGUAAAGCACUUUCAGCGAGGAGGAAGGGUUCAGUGUUAAUAGCACUGUUCAUUGACGUUACUCGCAGAAGAAGCACCGGCUAACUCCGUGCCAGCAGCCGCGGUAAUACGGAGGGUGCAAGCGUUAAUCGGAAUUACUGGGCGUAAAGCGCACGCAGGCGGUUUGUUAAGUCAGAUGUGAAAUCCCGCGCUUAACGUGGGAACUGCAUUUG